CACGUAGGGUGCGAGCGUUGUCCGGAAUUAUUGGGCGUAAAGAGCUCGUAGGCGGUGUGUCGCGUCGGCCGUGAAAACCUGCAGCUUAACUGUGGGCUUGCGGUCGAUACGGGCAUCACUGGAGUUCGGCAGGGGAGACUGGAAUUCCUGGUGUAGCGGUGAAAUGCGCAGAUAUCAGGAGGAACACCGGUGGCGAAGGCGGGUCUCUGGGCAACAACUGACGCUGGAGGAGCGAAAGCCGUGGGGAGCGAACAGG
rnacentral:rRNA from 1 species